rnacentral:rRNA from 1 species
AGUGAACGCUGGCGGUAGGCCUAACACAUGCAAGUCGAACGGCAGCACAGUAAGAGCUUGCUCUUACGGGUGGCGAGUGGCGGACGGGUGAGGAAUACAUCGGAAUCUACUUUUUCGUGGGGGAUAACGUAGGGAAACUUACGCUAAUACCGCAUACGACCUACGGGUGGAAGCAGGGGAUCUUCGGACCUUGCGCGAUUGAAUGAGCCGAUGUCGGAUUAGCUAGUUGGCGGGGUAAAGGCCCACCAAGGCGACGAUCCGUAGCUGGUCUGAGAGGAUGAUCAGCCACACUGGAACUGAGACACGGUCCAGACUCCUACGGGAGGCAGCAGUGGGGAAUAUUGGACAAUGGGCGCAAGCCUGAUCCAGCCAUACCGCGUGGGUGAAGAAGGCCUUCGGGUUGUAAAGCCCUUUUGUUGGAAAAGAAAAGCAGCAGGUUAAUACCCCGCUGUUCUGACGGUACCCAAAGAAUAAGCACCGGCUAACUUCGUG